rnacentral:rRNA from 1 species
UUCCGGCAGUGAGUCGGCGGGGGAUAAGCUCCGUCGUCGAGAGGGAGACAGCCCAGAUCGUCGUCUAAGGUCCCGAAGCGUGUGCUAAGUGGGAAAGGAUGUGGAGUCGCAUAGACAGCCAGGAGGUUGGCUCAGAAGCAGCCAUCCUUGAAAGAGUGCGUAACAGCUCACUGGUCUAGUGGUCCCGCGCCGACAAUGUAGCGGGGCUCAAGCACACCACCGAAGACGCGGCAGCGGCCUUUGUGGCCGUUGGGUAGGAGAGCGUCCCGCGUGGGGCGAAGCGGCCGGGGAACCGUGCCGUGGACCGCGCGGGAGUGAGAAUGCAGACAUGAGUAGCGAGAGACGGGUGAGGAUCCCGUCCGCUGGAUGACCAAGGGUUCCGGGGCCACGUUCGUCGUCCCCGGGUGAGUCGGGUCCUAAGGCGAGGCCGACAGGCGUAGUCGAAUGGAUGAACGGGUGGAUAUUCCCGUACCGGCGGCGUACCGUAAGAGCCGAACGGAUGAGUACUAACCUCCGGUCGCGUGGCGUCGUUCCCUUCGGGGUUCGGUGUCCGCGGUCGUUGGGAGCGUAGUCCUGGUAGGCUAGCGCACAGGGGUGACACGGAAUGGGAGCCGGCCGCGGAGGUGGUUUUCCGUGGUCAAGCACGCAGCCCGUCCCAUAGGCAAAUCCGUGGGGCAUGUAGGGUGAGGUGUGAUGAUGGGCGUCUUUUUUGGCGCGAUAUCCGGUGGUCCAGGCCGUCGAGAAAAGCCUCGGCGCGAGGGGCGUCGCCGCCCGUACCCCAAACCGACACUGGUGGUCAGGUAGAGAAUACCAAGGCGAUCGAGCGAAUCCUGGUCAAGGAACUCGGCAAAUCACUCCCGUGCCUUCGGUAUAAGGGAGACCCCCGGGCGUGAAGAGGCUUGCCCUCGGAGCGUUGGGGGGUGGCACAGACCAGGGGGUAGCGACUGUUUACCAAAAACACAGGUGCAUGCGAAGGCGCAAGCCGCUGUAUAUGCACUGACGCCUGCCCGGUGCCGGAAGGUUAAGAGGAUCCGUCAGCCCCUUUUUGGGGUGAAGCGGUGAAUUCAAGCCCCGGUAAACGGCGGUGGUAACUAUAACCAUCCUAAGGUAGCGAAAUUCCUUGUCGGGUAAGUUCCGACCUGCACGAAUGGCGUAACGACUUCCCCACUGUCUCGACCAGGAGCUCGGCGAAAGUGCAGUACGAGUAAAGAUGCUCGUUAAGCGCAGAAGGACGAAAAGACCCCGGGACCUUUACUAUACCUUGGUAUUGGCGUUAGGCGCGGAUUGUGUAGCAUAGGCGGGAGGCUUCGAAGCAUGGGCGCCAGCCCGUGUGGAGCCGCAAGGUGAAAUACCGCUCUGUUCUCGUUUGACGUCUCACCUCGAACAGUCAUCCUGUUCAGGGACAGUGCCUGGCGGGUAGUUUAACUGGGGCGGUUGCCUCCCAAAGAGUAACGGAGGCGCUCAAAGGUCCGCUCAGCCCGGUUGGCAAUCGGGUUUCGAGUGUAAUCGCACAAGCGGGCUUGACUGCGAGAACGACGGUUCGGGCAGGGACGAAAGUCGGAGAUAGUGAUCCGGUGCCGGCGCACGGGCGCGGCAUCGCUCAACGGAUAAAAGGUACCCCGGGGAUAACAGGCUGAUCAUUCCCAAGAGUCCAUAUCGACGGGAUGGUUUGGCACCUCGAUGUCGGCUCGUCGCAUCCUGGGGCUGGAGCAGGUCCCAAGGGUUCGGCUGUUCGCCGAUUAAAGCGGCACGCGAGCUGGGUUCAGAACGUCGUGAGACAGUUUGGUCUCUAUCCUCUGCGC